rnacentral:tRNA from 1 species
GCCAGCGGUCGCUGACCGCGGCCGGCCGCAUCAUCUCGCUGAGGAGAUCGGCCCGCGCCGGGGCGGCGGGUUCGAUGCCCGGCGCCGGCC